rnacentral:misc_RNA from 1 species
AAACAAUUGAAACCAAAUAUCAGUCUUUGUGAGUGGACUUUUGAGUUGUGAUAUCAAUUUGGUUUCUGAAUCAUAAUUGAUAGUAAUUAUUUAAAAAUGGCCUAGCCCCAACCCACUCAUGGUCGUACAAGAAGAAAUUUUCGAGAGGAGCCCUUUUAAUAUUUUUGCAUGAAGUGGCUAUUCUCACUUUCUCAGUCUUUCAACUUUCUUCUUGACUGUGAGCUUAAGACUUUUAUUAUUGGAGCCCUUUUAAUAUUUUUGCAUGAAGUGGCUAUUCUCACUUUCUCAGUCUUUCAACUUUCUUCUUGACUGUGAGCUUAAGACUUUUAUUAUU